GGUCCUCUCGUACUAAAAAUUUUUAAUAAAAUCAAGGAUAGAAACCAACCUGGCUUAAACCGGUUUGAACUCAGAUCAUGUAAAAUUUUAAAGGUCGAACAGACCUAAAUUUUUAAGCUUCUACCCCCAAAAUAAAUUUUAAUCCGACAUCGAGGUCGCAAUUUUUUAUGUCAAUAAGAACUUUAAAAAAAAUAACGCUGUUAUCCCCAAGGUAAUUUAAUCUAAUAAUCUGAAAUAGAGGAUCAAAAAUUCAUUAAUUAAUUUAUUUAAUUUUUUAUUUAAUUUCAUAUUAAUUAAUUAUU
rnacentral:lncRNA from 1 species